GAAACCCUGACUAUGGUGGAAGCUUCAAGCUUUAACAAGUGUUACUGCUAAAUUCAAGAAUCCUUAUAGGAGAAAGGAUGAAGGAAGAAAUGUAAGGCUUGCUGUUCAAGUUAUCCUGAAAUAUUGAAUCUGAAUGAAAGGUGUCAGUGUUGGAGGCUCAAGACACAGGCCCUGAAAAUGAAAUUACGCUUACUUUAUUUAUUAAUGGUGCAUUGUUGAAAGCAGCUGAAAGCCACAGGCCCUACUGGUGAGGAGUCAAUUGUUCAUGCAGCUCAGGUGCCUUGUAGGGGAUGCAGAAUUCCACGCUUUCAAGCUGGCAGUUCUCUCAUGUUUUCUGGUUUCCUGUGUCGUAGAAGAGGCUCCGCAGCAUGCACAACUACUCACUUUCUGGAGCAAUGUCAAGCAGAGAAGACCUUGUCUGUUCUGCCCUGAUGCAAGGACAGACAGGAGCUGCACGCUGCCUGAGUCCAUUAGCUGGUCAGAGUGCAUGCAGGAGACGAGCAGACACUACUCCCAAGGUCCCAGUGGCAACUUUGAAUUUCGAGCAUGCCUGGGACUGCUGGGCAAAAAAUAA
rnacentral:lncRNA from 1 species